rnacentral:lncRNA from 1 species
CAGUUACUGAGCAGGAAGCAGUCACGUCAAUGGAAUGUCAAUGAUGCAUUGCUCUCAUUCAUCAGCCUAGGGCUCAUAUCCCCUUGAUAGAUGAAUGUGAUCUAUCUAUCACCAGACCCAUCUAAGUUUUAUGAUGCAUUGCUCCACAGCUAUCAGUGCUGGAGAAGACAAGGCCCCACAGACCAGAGAAGUUUAAAAUUCAUUUGCAUUAAUUAAAAGGAUUCUUCAAAAUAUUUAUGAAUAGAUACAAAUAAAGGAAGGAAGAUGAGGAAUGAAGAGAGGCCAAUUGUUAAGAGAAAGCCCUGGUCAGAUAAGGGAGACCAAGGCAUUGAUUUCAGCUGUAAAUUUACUGUAGCCCAGAAAAUGUUGAUCUGCCUGAAGGAUGGGGUACAGAGUCUAUCACUAUGUUAGAAUAUGAUGAGGAAAAAAUGAAGAUGAAGGAAGAAAUGGGACCACUGAUCUGAGUGGGCAGGACCAUGACAAUAGUUCACUCUGUCCCUUCUUGAUUCUUAUGCUCCUUUUAUUUUCUCUUCAAAGGACAAAUCAUCUUCAAACUGAGAGGAACAAAUUCUAGAACAUCAUAUUCAUCUACUUUUGGUGUCCAUCUGGAAUUCAACUCUCACCUGUGGCUCCAAAAAAGCUAUAGCAUGCUCAGCAGCCACAGACUGGUAGACCCAACCUGUAGACAGGCUCAGUCAAAUUGAGGUUAACUGGAAAAACUCAAACCCAAAGAAAUGUCAAGAGGAUGAAAGAGAUAUGGGCUGGGUUCUCAGCUUCUCAGAAAGGAAGCAAACACACGGCUGGAAUUACUGAUGCUGUCAUUGGUAUUAAUGAACAACUCAAAGACAAAAAUGCUAACAAGAACAAAAGAUAUAAUGGAAAGAGCCUUGAAUUUGGAGUCAGAAGACCUUAAUUUGAUUAUUUCACUCAUCAAGUAACCUUCGGAAAG